rnacentral:lncRNA from 1 species
CAAGUCUCGGAUGAUUCUCUGGAGCUGGCUCUCUGCAUUGGUGGAGGCCAUGCUGCUCCAGUCUCGCUGGGUUUGGUGUGGACAGGAGGAAGUGUGAACCACAGUUCGGUUCCCGAGGAAGCCUUACCCACAGCCUCCUUCACCCCAUCCUGGAAAAUGAAAAGCACCGCCACCCUCACAAACAACCCUGCUAACCCAAACCUCCUGUCAGGGGGUGAAUUGUGCACACCACCCCACCGCAUUUCGAUGUUGAAGCCCUAACCCUCAUACCUCAGAAUGUGACUGCAUUUGAAGACAGGGCCUUUAAAGAGGUAAUGAAGAUUAAAUGAGGCCAUGAGAGUGGGCCCAAAUCCAAUUGGAACUGGUGAGUUUAUAA